GCACUGGUGGCUCGGUGGUAGAAUUCUCGCCUUCCAUGCAGGAGACCCGGGUUCAAUUCCCAGCCAGUGCA
rnacentral:tRNA from 1 species